rnacentral:rRNA from 1 species
GCCCGCUCAAGAAACUACGAAAGGAAUUGACGGGGCCCGCACAAGCGGUGGAGUAUGUGGUUUAAUUCGAUGCAACGCGAAGAACCUUACCUGGUCUUGACAUCCCGGAGACCCUUAGGAAACUAGGGGGUGCUUCCAUCUGGAAGAAUCUGGAGACAGGUGCUGCAUGGCUGUCGUCAGCUCGUGUCGUGAGAUGUUGGGUUAAGUCCCGCAACGAGCGCAACCCUUGCCUUUAGUUGCCAGCAGUUCGGCUGGGCACUCUAAAGGGACUGCCGGUGUUAAACCGGAGGAAGGUGGGGAUGACGUCAAGUCCUCAUGGCCUUUAUGACCAGGGCUACACACGUACUACAAUGGCCGAUACAAAGGGCAGCGACACUGCGAGGUGAAGCCAAUCCCGUAAAAUCGGUCUCAGUCCGGAUUGGAGUCUGCAACUCGACUCCAUGAAGUUGGAAUCGCUAGUAAUCGUGGAUCAGCAUGCCACGGUGAAUACGUUCCCGGGCCUU